UUUCCCUCCCUUUCCCCUCACCAUAACCGCCGGUCUCUACUCUCUCUCACACUCCAAAUUUCACAAUUUUUCCUCCACCAUUUUCUUGCUCCAAUUCACACCAAAUUCACCACACAAGCUCAAGACAACUUGGACAAUCACUUGGACAAAGAAGGAGCUGCACAUUCACGGAUUUUCUUGGGGCUUUUGGGACACCAAAAUCUGACCUUUUAGCACACAAGUAAGGAGUUGGUGAAGAGCACAAUCUCGAUCAAAGUUUGGAAUUCUAGACACUUCACUUGAGGUUCUGAAAUGCAUGAAGUCUUGGAGAACUAGAACAGAAAUGUUAUAUUUUGAAUGCCCACUUUUGUAAUUGUACUUUUGGAAACGUUAGUAUCUUUUGGAUGAUUUUU